rnacentral:rRNA from 1 species
AGCGAACGCUGGCGGCAGGCUUAACACAUGCAAGUCGAGCGGGCGUAGCAAUACGUCAGCGGCAGACGGGUGAGUAACGCGUGGGAACGUACCUUUUGGUUCGGAACAACACAGGGAAACUUGUGCUAAUACCGGAUAAGCCCUUACGGGGAAAGAUUUAUCGCCGAAAGAUCGGCCCGCGUCUGAUUAGCUAGUUGGUGAGGUAACGGCUCACCAAGGCGACGAUCAGUAGCUGGUCUGAGAGGAUGAUCAGCCACAUUGGGACUGAGACACGGCCCAAACUCCUACGGGAGGCAGCAGUGGGGAAUACUGGACAAUGGGCGCAAGCCUGAUCCAGCCAUGCCGCGUGAGUGAUGAAGGCCCUAGGGUUGUAAAGCUCUUUCGGUGGGAACGAAACGGUGGGGGUCAAUAACCCUCCACUACUGACGGUACUCACAAAAGAAGCACCGCUAACUACGUGCCAGCCGCCGCGGUAAG